AGACGCGUGCAAACACUUUGAGCACUGAAGGUCCGCAGGCCUCCGCAAUCACUGAGCAUUUGAGACAACUCUGGGGCCAUGCAUCCACCAGCUCUCAGUGCAG
rnacentral:lncRNA from 1 species